GAUGAAGAACGCAGCAAAAUGCGAUAAGUAAUGUGAAUUGCAGAAUUCAGUGAAUCAUCGAAUCUUUGAACGCACAUUGCGCCCGCCAGCACUCUGGCGGGCAUGCCUGUUCGAGCGUCAUUUCAACCAUCAAGCCCCAGGCUUGCGUUGGAGCCCUGCGGCUGCCGCAGCCUCCUAAAAGCAGUGGCGGGCUCGCUAUCACACCGAGUGCAGUAGAUUACUCUUCGCUCAGGGCGUGCAGCGGGUUCCGACCGUGAAACCCCCUACUUUUAAAGGUUGACCUCGGAUCAGGUAGGAAUACCCGCUGAACUUAAGCAUAUCAAAGCGGAGGA
rnacentral:misc_RNA from 1 species